rnacentral:rRNA from 1 species
GCCGGUAGUCAUACGUUCGUCUCAAAGAUUAAGCCAUGCAUGUGUAAGUAUAAAUAAUUUUACUUUGAAACUGCGAAUGGCUCAUUAUAUCAGUUAUAGUUUAUUAGAAAUAUUUUACUACUUGGAUAACCGUAGUAAUUCUAGGGCUAAUACAUGAGUAAAACCUCAACUUCGGAAGAGGUGUGUUUAUUAGUAUGAAAACCAUAUAUCUUCGGAUAUAAUAGUGAGUAAUAAUAACCUUUCAUAUCGUAUGUCGUAAGAUAACGAUAGUUCUUUCAAGUUUCUGCCCUAUCAGCUUUCGAUGGUAGUAUAUGGGACUACCAUGGCAGUAACGGGUAACGAAGAAUUUGGGUUCGAUUUCGGAGAGGGAGCCUGAGAGAUGGCUACCACAUCCAAGGAAGGCAGCAGGCGCGUAAAUUACCCAAUCCUGACAUAGGGAGGUAGUGACAAUAAAUCACAAUGCGGAACUUUUAGUUUUGCAAUUGGAUUGAGAACAAUGUACAAAUGUUAUCGAUAAACAAUUGGAGGGCAAGUCUGGUGCCAGCAGCCGCGGUAAUUCCCGCUCCCAUAGCGUAUAUUAACGUUGUUGCAU